UAAGCGGAGGAAAAGAAACUAACAAGGAUUCCCCUAGUAACUGCGAGUGNAGCGGGNAAAGCUCAAAUUUAAAAUCUGGCGGUCUUUGGCCGUCCGAGUUGUAAUUUAGAGAAGCGUCUUCCGCGCCGGACCGUGCACAAGUCUCCUGGAAUGGAGCGUCAUAGAGGGUGAGAAUCCCGUCUUUGGCACGGAUGCCUGGUGCUCUGUGAUGCGCUCUCGAAGAGUCGAGUUGUUUGGGAAUGCAGCUCAAAAUGGGUGGUGAACUCCAUCUAAAGCUAAAUAUUGGCGAGAGACCGAUAGCGAACAAGUACCGUGAGGGAAAGAUGAAAAGCACUUUGGAAAGAGAGUGAAACAGUACGUGAAAUUGUUGAAAGGGAAACGCUUGAAGUCAGUCGCGUCGACCGAGACUCAGCCUUGCCUCGGCUUGGUGUACUUCUCGGCCCGACGGGUCAGCGUCAAUUUUGCCCCUCGGAUAAUGGCAAGGGAAAGGUGGCACCUUUACGGGUGUGUUAUAGUCUCCUGUCGCAUGCGAGGGUUGGGAUUGAGGAACUCAGCGCGCACCUUUGGUGUCGGGGCUUCGGCCCACGUCACGCGCUUAGGAUGCUGGCGNAAUGGCUUUAAACNANC
rnacentral:rRNA from 1 species